rnacentral:lncRNA from 1 species
GUGUUUCUUUGCCCGACACCUCUCAGAGGGACAACGGCCGGGCUGUCCCCCUGACCGCUGCGCGUCGCCUGCAGGCAUUACAGUGGGUUUCUGAAAGACAUUUGGGGAUCUGCGGAACUGAACGGCAUCUAGGCGCUUCCCGUCCGGGUUGGUUCUCCACCGCCACUGACGGUUUAGGGUCAAGGCCCAGAAACAGGUUCCUGAGAUUUAUCUGCAAGCGGUGUACCUGCUCCCAAGUUGCAUACUCAGACCCUCACUAGGGGGAACAGACCUGCAUAUUUAGGAUCUCCUUUGGGCUCUUGGGAUUUAAGCGAUCAUCACAUAGUUUAGCUUAGUACAGUAUUCCAUUGGCAGGAAGGAACAAACAGACCCUUGUCCUGCACGUGGCUAAGGUACAGAGCAUCCCCCUGUAGGAGAACUUACCUCCGUGACCCAACCCAGUAAGAUGAGAGCCUGGGCAGCUAGGGACAGCAGCAGGACCCCAGGGAUUUAGCGUUGUGUCUGCCGGUUCAGUUUGUUGUGGAGGCGGCUUAUUCUUCUUGGGGAGAAAAGAUAUUUUGCUUCUCUGAGGAACAGGCUGUGGUCCCAUUUCGUUCCUUGGGGUGUAGCCCUCUCAAAUGGACCUCUGGGUUCGGCAGUGACAGCAGCCUCCUCCUGUCUUCUCUCAAAAGUUCCCAGUGUCUUUCCCUGCAGGUGUCAGGGUCUGCCUAGGGUGGAAUGCCUCCAGGCUGUCACAGUCCUGCUCAUGCCCCACUCACAGGUGUCCCAAACUAGAGGUGAGCAUGGCAGAACAGGAACCCACUGCUGAGCAGCUCGCUCAGAUAGCUGCAGAGAAUGAGGAAGACGAGCACUCUGUGAACUACAAGCCUCCAGCCCAGAAGAGCAUCCAGGAGAUCCAGGAACUGGACAAGGAUGAUGAAAGCCUUCGAAAGUACAAGGAGGCCCUGCUGGGCCGAGUAGCUGUCUCUGC